UAAGGAAUAUUGGUCAAUGGAGGCAACUCUGAACCAGCCAUGCCGCGUGCAGGAAGACUGCCCUAUGGGUUGUAAACUGCUUUUAUACGGGAAUAAACCUUGGUUCGUGAACCAAGCUGAAUGUACCGUAAGAAUAAGGAUCGGCUAACUCCGUGCCAGCAGCCGCGGUAAUACGGAGGAUCCAAGCGUUAUCCGGAUUUAUUGGGUUUAAAGGGAGCGUAGGCGGCCUAUUAAGUCAGGGGUGAAAGACGGCAGCUUAACUGUCGCAGUGCCUUUGAUACUGAUAGGCUUGAAUGUAGUUGAGGUGGGCGGAAUGUGACAAGUAGCGGUGAAAUGCAUAGAUAUGUCACAGAACACCGAUUGCGAAGGCAGCUCACUAAGCUAUGAUUGACGCUGAGGCUCGAAAGCGUGGGGAUCAAACAGGAUUAGAUACCCUGGUAGUCCACGCCCUAAACGAUGAUAACUCGAUGUUUGCGAUAUACAGUAAGCGUCCAAGCGAAAGCGUUAAGUUAUCCACCUGGGGAGUACGCCCGCAAGGGUG
rnacentral:rRNA from 1 species